rnacentral:lncRNA from 1 species
UUUAUAUUGAUGAUGGGAUAUCAAAUACAGAGUUGAUCUACCUCAAUAUCAUAUGUUAUGGUCUAAAACCCUAAGAAUAAUGAUCUUAACUUGUCCUACGGACUAAAACCCUCUGGUUUAUAUAGAUACCAGGGAUAUAGGGUUAUACAAUGUCAGUUACACUAAGGAGAAAACAUGUUGAUUAUCAUCUUGCCAUGGGGCGCACACCAAGUCUUCGCAAGAGUUCGUCUUGGAUACAACAUCGUCUUAUAGUUCGGGCUCCCAUGAUAUUAUAUGACGGCCCAGGAGUUCGGUCCAUAAAAAUAGGUAAGCGAUACGAGAACGCCUUAAUCCUAGACUCCUUCACUUUCCAAAACACAUUAGAAUGAAAAGUUAGAAAACCAAUUUUGUCCUUAAGCACGCAAGUACCAAGAAGACGCUUCCUGCUCACUGAUGAGUGACAUCACUAAAGUAACAAAAAAAUAAAAAAAAUGUUAAUUUCAAGAGGGGAAGCGGACACAAGUUACUUUCAGAUAUUGGUGUCAUUUAAUAUCAAUACUGGAAGAUGAUAUAUCAAUAACUAUAUACUCCCUCCGUCCCAAAAUAACUGUCUCAACUUUAUACUAGCUCUAGUAUAAAGUUGUGCUAAGUUUAAGACACUUAUUUUGGGACGGAGGGAGUACAAUUCUUAUUCCAUUCACACAUAUUUCUUUGGACCCACAUCAUAAUUCAAGCAUAGUUUUCCUUCUUGUCUCUGAUCAUGGUAUUAUAAAGGGGAAUAGAGAGACAGGUUGCAGAAAAAAAAGUAAUAGGGUUAUAGGAAAUAAAGUAACUCAUUUACUCCCUCCGUCCAGUCCGGUGAAGAGUGUACGUUUGGCCUAAAAAUUUGUUCAUAAAAGAGCGUACUUUUAUUUUUCCAAUGUACUUUAAAAUAGAAAAAAAAUGCUUCUUUCUCAUCACACGGUAAUCAAGACCAAUAACAUUCUACACAUAGUCUCCUUAAUUUCUACGUGCACUUAGCUCAUUGGGGGUUGGGUAAUUAAAGAGGAAAGAGAUGAUGGCUUGCAUCUUUCCAAUACAUUUUUUACUCCACUUCAUAAUUUGUCCUAAAAUGUCUAUAUGUACACUUUUCAUCGGACGGAGGGAGUAGGUAUGACCAUGGAGAAGACAAAGCUUUCAUAGAGAAAUUUGGGAAUAGAGCCUUUUUCUCAAUUUAAUUACUUCAGAAUCAUCGGUAUGAGAACACACAUUGAUACCUGUUGCUACAAACUGAUCCACUUGCUUCUCCUCAUAGAAUAAUAUCAUUAAUCCUAUGUACACAUGAAAUGAACAGACUAAUUAGUCUAACAUCAAAUAAUGUCUUCUUGAAACUAAAACAUAAAAAGGCAAGUCUUGAGGUAGAAACAGAAUCCCCUAUGAAUUAUCACACAAAAUUUAAGAAAAUAAGAAAACACCCAACAAGAAAAACUUGCGACCCAUCCAAAGAUUCCUAGAAUUUGAAUGACAUCAUAUUCGGCACAAUGCAAAGUAUAUAUAUCUUAAUCUUAUUGAACCCAAAAAAGUAAAACAACAAAGUGUCGAAGACCACCGGUGCCAUUCUCAUCAGCAUCGACCAAUUUUGUGGAAGUAAAAAAAACAUCAAACAUGGGAACCAUACCAUCCAUCCUAAAACUCUUGGAAUCCGAUACACGAAGAACAUCACACACAUGACUACCAUACAUUGUAUACAACAUUAUGUUAGUUUUAAUUAUUGAGAAAUCAUGCGUGUAUUGCCAACAAAAAUUGGGGCUUCUCAUGUACAUUAGACCAACAAAUGGAGGUAAGUUUAUAAGUAUAUAUACACGAGUAAGCCCACAAAUUAGAAAAAUACAGGGACAUUAAUCAUAUUUUCUUACAUGCAUCAGGAUGUAAGAUGUGGUGACCUUGGCUCCACAACCAUGGAGACGGCCAGUCUGGACAUGACGGUGGCAGGGGUACAGCGUGAGAAAAGGAGGAGUCAGAAAAGUGAGUACAAUUACUGAUCAUUUUUACAAUUGUUGAUUUAGAUUCCGAUUCAUACUCUAAAAUAGGAGGGCUAAAAUUCCUUAUUCAACCGCUAUAAAUAAACUAUGAUGACAGUGAGACAGUGCGCAAAAAGCUGAAUGUGCAAGAUCGACAUCUUUGUUAGUAAAAAACACAUCAUUUUCUUCUUGUAGAAUGCAACACAUGCAAAGAAUGGAAAUUCACCGUCGAAUAAAAGACAUUCUCUAUUUAUUUGCUGAAUGUGCAUUAUCUUUUUUUGGACAAAAGAAUGCAACACAUACAAAGAAUGGAAACUCGCCAUCGAAUAAAAGACAUGCUCCACAGUUCAAGUAUCUGAAGUAACUUUCAUACAAGCAUGGGAUUGGCACAUAUGUGUUGGCAAGUAACAAAUAUUAGUAAAAGGAAAACAGAUUAUCCAAAAGAAGAAAGGUUAUAUAUAUUUUCAAAGUACCCAGCCAUAAAAUCAGAUGCUUCUUGAUUAACAAAAUGAACACACAAUUAAGCGGGCAUAGGAGGUCUAUUGUACCGACAAAAAACACAUGUGGACAUGGAGGCAAUCGAUCCAUCUUCAAAAACAGUUCGGAGUUCCGCAUAUAGAGAGAGAUAUAGAUAGUGGUGUUCUGAAAAUAGCACUUCUUAAUUCUGUAUUCCUCGUAGGUACAUCUAUAAGACAUUCAAAGUGAAGCUGAGAUUGCCUUUCUAUCCUUAUAUUUAGAUUGCUAGUGUUACAAUUACAGUACCUAUAUCAGAAAAUUUAUGGUAUAAUCACUUAAUAAAUUGCUAUCAAAGAAGCAUACAUGACAUAAGGGAUAUCUUGUUGCCUCGACAAUUAGAAAAAUACAGCAGUACAAAUCUUUAAAGGAAAAGGGUAAACUGAACUUGCAAACAGUGUAGGUUCCAUCAAUUUGCACAGAAUUUAUACCAUGAAAAAAACUAAAUUCAGACCACACAACAUGGCAAACCAUGGAGAAGGAAAAUCAGGGGAUGCCAAAAUAAUUAAUCAAUUUUGUCCUGUGGACCUGGAAGCAAAGACAAAUUACUUGUAUAUACAGUACACACCCCAGAGCUUGCAGCAAGGUAAUGAAUAAACAGAACUGCAACAAAGGAGCAUAUUUACUAUAUUAGUUUCCAUUGGAUCUCUAAGCUACAAAAAGUUAUUCCAGUCUGAAUAUCACCUCCUUUUCAUAGUGUAGUGAAACUGUAAUUAAAAGAACUUUCAGUGCAUAGCUCUUACAAGAGUAUCACUUCAUGUCUAUACUUAAUAAUUCUGCACUCCAAAUAGCUACAACCCUCUACUGUAUUGUUUUAAUUAAGAAGCAAUAAUGUGACCGUAUUUCAUGGCAAAAAAUGUUCAUUGCUCCUGUUAGAAGGAUAAAAUAACUACCUUUAGUAGGUACUUCAACUAUGAAAGAGCGUGUAAUAAUUAGUGAUUAGUGAUUUACCUGAGAGAGUAAAAGCAUGGCAAGUAUAUUCAUUAACUGCUCUCAACUGAUUAUGGAAUGAGUUUUUGACGGAAAAUAGAAAGCACGCAACACAAGAACAGUAGGCAC